GAUCCUGGCUCAGGAUGAACGCUAGCUACAGGCUUAACACAUGCAAGUCGAGGGGAAACGACAUCGAAAGCUUGCUUUUGGUGGGCGUCGACCGGCGCACGGGUGAGUAACGCGUAUCCAACCUGCCCACCACUUGGGGGAUAACCUUGCGAAAGUAAGACUAAUACCCAAUGAUAUCCCACGAAGGCAUCCGAAUGGGAUUAAAGAUUUAUCGGUGAUGGAUGGGGAUGCGUCUGAUUAGCUUGUUGGCGGGGUAACGGCCCACCAAGGCAACGAUCAGUAGGGGUUCUGAGAGGAAGGUCCCCCACAUUGGAACUGAGACACGGUCCAAACUCCUACGGGAGGCAGCAGUGAGGAAUAUUGGUCAAUGGGCGAGAGCCUGAACCAGCCAAGUAGCGUGCAGGAUGACGGCCCUAUGGGUUGUAAACUGCUUUUAUGCGGGGAUAACGUGCACCACGUGUGGUGUAUUGCAGGUACCGCAUGAAUAAGGACCGGCUAAUUCCGUG
rnacentral:rRNA from 1 species